CUGACCCGACCAGAGGACGGGCUCUGACCUCUGACCUCCCACCUGGAGCCCCAUGUGACCCGGCCAGAGGACGGGCUCCUGAUCAACUCUCAUCAUCACAUCACUCAUGAUCACCGAACGUCGUGUCCAGGAAUGUUUUAAUAAAGCGCAGAGAGCAGAACACUGGGACUCCUGUGAGCUCAUUACACCAAACAUACUCAACGCCUUUAGUUCCAGCUCGUUUUCAUCUACAAGCUUCAGUUAAAAAAAAUAGCAUCGCUCGGGUACAUUGGAACUCCACUGAAAAGGUGACGACUGAUUAGUGACUUUUCCUUUGUUUUUCCUGACCUUCCAAGCCCACUAAGACAGACUUCCAGUGGUGUUGUGAGAUAAAACACAAAGUCUUCGAUAAGGUGAAGAGAAGAUUCAGUUAAGCCUUUAAAAUGUGUUUUCAAGACUAUUUAAAUGAGUACCUAACAGCUGGCAGUGGUCCCUAUUUUCCAAAGCCUACUCUCCUGUGCUUCUGCUGUGCUGCCGAACCAGCAGAUUAUGCAGAAGGUACAGACACUCUCCACAUAAGAAGUGCAGAACAUCUUAGCCAUUUUGCAGUCUACAUCAAAUGGACCGAAUUAAAGCCUUUGCUGUCCUUUUUUCUGAAUGAGUUCCGUGUACUGCUCCCACUUCAACUUGUUGAAUGGGUUAACCAAAUGAUGGUUAGUGCUUGGUUCUAUGAACAUCCUUAAUGUACCCACAGAGAUAUAUUGUUGUUUCUCUUUCUGCUGACUAAUGUAUUUUGGAAAAUUUUACUUUGGAUAAAAGCGUCUGCUAAACUCCCUCAAUGUAAAUGUAAAUGUUAAUACGGUUUCAUUCUCAUAACUAUAUAUUCCUUAAUCCAUCAUUUUAUUAAAAUACAUUUUUACAUUCUCAA